rnacentral:rRNA from 1 species
AUUGAACGCUGGCGGCAGGCCUAACACAUGCAAGUCGGACGGUAGCACAGAGAGCUUGCUCUCGGGUGACGAGUGGCGGACGGGUGAGUAAUGUCUGGGGAUCUGCCCGAUAGAGGGGGAUAACCACUGGAAACGGUGGCUAAUACCGCAUAACGUCGCAAGACCAAAGAGGGGGACCUUCGGGCCUCUCACUAUCGGAUGAACCCAGAUGGGAUUAGCUAGUAGGCGGGGUAACGGCCCACCUAGGCGACGAUCCCUAGCUGGUCUGAGAGGAUGAGCAGCCACACUGGAAAGGAGACACGGUCCAGACUCCUACGGGAGGCAGCAGUGGGGAAUAUUGCACAAUGGGCGCAAGCCUGAUGCAGCCAUGCCGCGUGUAUGAAGAAGGCCUUCGGGUUGUAAAGUACUUUCAGCGGGGAGGAAGGCGAUGUGGUUAAUAACCGCAUUGAUUGACGUUACCCGCAGAAGAAGCACCGGCUAACUCCGUGCCAGCAGCCGCCGUAA